GCUUUCUGUCGUGCUGGUCACACUGGCACAGAUACAUCGCAAAAAAAGGUCGCAAUUUUUUGGAGCAGCGCUCACAUUCCGGAAAUUCAGCAAACUUUAAAGGCGGAAUUUAAGAAUAAGGACCCCUGUUAACCACAUAUACAGAAGAUACACCGGAGGCAGCAGCGACACAGGACGCAACAUGGCCAUAGCCGAGCAUGACAACGUUUUCAUUUUUGUGCCAAAUUUGAUCGGCUAUGCCCGCAUCGUCUUGGCCCUGAUCGCCUUCUGGUUCAUGUCCACCAACUAUGUGAUCUCCGGCUGGUGUUAUGUAACCUCCGCCCUGCUGGACGCCGUCGAUGGACACGCCGCCCGGGCCUUCAAUCAGAGUACUCGUUUUGGGGCCAUGCUGGACCAGUUGACCGAUAGAUGCGGCACCACUGGCCUCCUGGUCACCCUGGCCUACUUCUAUCCCCAAUACAUGUUCUGGUUCCAGCUGUCCAUUGCCAUUGAUGUGGCCUGCCAUUGGCUCUUCAUGCAGACGAGCGUUGUGGUUGGUCGCAGCUCGCACAAGGUCAACGAGAAUUUUAUAAUGCGACUGUACUAUCAGAAGGACAUACUCACCUUUAUGUGCUGCGUCAAUGAGCUGUUCUACGUGUGCUUGUAUCUCUUGCAUUUCACUUACGGACCGCUGAUAUUUGGAGCCUCGCUCUUCAAGAUACUCGCCUUCCUCACGGGCCCCUUUGCCGUUCUCAAGGCUCUGAUCUCGGUGAUGCACGCCUAUGUGGCGGGCAUCGAUCUGGCUGCCGUGGAUGUCCGUGAGCGGCAGGAGAAGCGACAGAAGGCGGAGUCGGGGGCCGCCACCGGCAAGAAACUGGAGUAAAAUCUUCAAACUUCCAGCGAAACAAAUUUUGAUUCCAAAACUGAAAAUGAAACCUUAAGAGAGGACGAAGAGAACAGAGAUCAAAUCAGAUCGGAUGAGAUGCAUGAUUAUGUAUAUGAAGGGCAUUAGGCAACCAAAUAGGACGUGUGUUUAUUUACGGAAUGCAGCAAUUAUUUUGAAUCAAAAAUCGAAGAAAUUUAAGCGAUUCGUUCCAGAAAACACAGAGAUGAAUUUGAAUAGUCUUAGAUUGUAGCCCGUAGCCCGUAACUGUUGCAUAUAUAUUUAUUUUGCCUUUAGUUUAAAUACAUUUCUGUGACGUGACGCUUACACAUUAUAUAUUUUACAUAUAUAUUUAUAUAUACACACAUGUAUAUACACAGGCUGUAUACAGGGCAGAGUCGGCGUGUAUAUUUCCAGGAUAUAUAUCUCAUUUUGUUCGAUUCAAGACCUUCCUACCAGCAAUUGUCAGACGCAACUCUCUCAAUGUAACUAAUGUGUAUUUCUAAUCGUAAGCAUAACCAAAAACAAAUGUAAUUGGAGACCUGCAGAAAAAUAAAAUGGAAAUGGAUGUGUUAAUGUGACAUAUUUAA